CCCUUAGAUGUUCUGGGCCGCACGCGUGCUACACUGAGUGGAUCAGCGGGUCAGGUUGCGCGAAAGUGUUUCCUAAUCUUGAAUCCGCUCGUGAUGGGGAUUGACGGUUGCAAUUUUCCGUCAUGAACGAGGAAUACCUUGUAAGCGCGGGUCAUCAUCCCGCGCUGAAUACGUCCCUGCCCUUUGUACACACCGCCCGUCGCUCCUACCGAUUGAGUGGUCCGGUGAGGCUUUGGGAUCUGAGCGGAAAGAGCGUUUCGCUGUUUCUGCUCGGAAAACUCAGUCGAACCUUAUCAUUUAGAGGAAGGAGAAGUCGUAACA
rnacentral:rRNA from 1 species